CUUCUGACAGAAUACUUGCUUUGAGACACAGCAUCAUCAUGGUUGGGUAUCUUCUUGCUUUCGUCUUCCUUAUUGCUUCGGCAAAUGGAGAUACGAUUUCCCGGAUCAUCAACGGAAGUCCGACGACCAUUGCGUCCCAUCCGCACCAGAUUUCGCUGCAAAGGUAAACAACCUCCAGUGGAGGUUACUGGUACCACACUUGUGGAGGGUCCAUCGUCAGGAGCAAAUGGGUUGUGACCGCUGCACACUGUGUGGAAGGCUCCAGUGCGUCUACUCUCCAAGUAGUCUUGACCAACGGAUUCUUGUCAGACCCCAACAGGAAAUCAUACGCCGUCAGACGGGUUAUCAUGGUAAGAU